rnacentral:rRNA from 1 species
GACGAACGCUGGCGGCGUGCUUAACACAUGCAAGUCGAGCGGUAAGGCCCUUUCGGGGGUACACGAGCGGCGAACGGGUGAGUAACACGUGGGCGACCUGCCCUCAGCUCUGGGAUAAGCCUGGGAAACCGGGUCUAAUACCGGAUAUGACUCCAUGACGCAUGUUGUGGGGUGGAAAGCCUUGUGCGGCUGAGGAUGGGCCCGCGGCCUAUCAGCUUGUUGGUGGGGUGAUGGCCUACCAAGGCGACGACGGGUAGCCGGCCUGAGAGGGCGACCGGCCACACUGGGACUGAGACACGGCCCACGACUCCUACGGGAGGCAGCAGUGGGGAAUCUUGCGCAAUGGGCGAAAGCCUGACGCAGCGACGCCGCGUGAGGGAUGACGGCCU